AUUGUGCAAAAAACCCAAAAAAGGCUAAAAUGCAAAAAAGUUGGCAUCGAUGGCGCCCGUGGCGCAGACGCGAGACGCGAACGAGCGGUCACAAGAGUACAACCUCUAAUUCUAGUGGACACAUGACAUCAUCUAAAUUUUAGAAGACCUUUUACAAUCUUUUAUUAGAGGGAUAUCGUAGAUGACAAACCCCUACAUUUACGGGGGCAAGAGCGUUUACGGGUUAUUGCUGAAGAGAGUCUUAGGUUUAAAUUCCUACCUAUGUAUAAUUUUAAUUUAAUUUUACUAUUUAAGCGGGGAGGGGGUGACAUACGAACGCCAAAACUACCACUUUAUAUUGCUAGAGAUAAAUAUUAAUACUUCUAUCUGUGUAUGUGUGUAUAUAUACAUAUAUUUCAUGAGGGUAUAUAGAUUUAUAUGAACAAUCGAUGUGUUAAUAAGUUUUAGAAUUUUUAAAUGACCAAAAUAUAGUUCCCACCGCAUAUUUUCCAAUAUUUGGCCUAACCUGAGGUAACCCUGGCUGUGGGCCAAAUUCUUACUGACAACCUUGAGGAGGAAGACAUCCGAUGCCCGAUGCCGAGCCCAAACCCGCGAGUCAGCGUGCGGCAGCGCUCCAAUCCGACUUCAUCCCUGCUCGGCUGGCCGCUACAUUGCUGCUGAACCCUAGCCGCCGCGCCGCUACCUGCUACCAUCGCUCCACCCGCCGUCCGCCGCGACGCCGCCCAUCGCGUCACCAUCGUCCGGAAACUGGGCAAUAGGGGUUGCGGCCGCCCGUUGCCACCAGGUCCUCUGCGCCUGCUGCUACGGGCUGUCCGCGGCACCGCGCGUCACAGUCGUCGGAGGCGCGUUGGGCGGCCGCCUGGUUGGCCAGCCGGCGACUGCGUGUCUCUGUGCUCCGUGGUCCCUUUCCUUCUGCGAGAAUUGCAGAGCAAUUGGGGUACACAGCACAGGCACAUGAAUACAACACAACAGUUUGCUCUCUGAUUCGAUCGAUCCAACUAGCCUCCAAGCAUGGUGUUCGGCCGGAGCAAAUCAACUUCGUCGACGACGCCAUCCGCGCCCUCAAAGGCGGCGGCUGCGUGCUCCGAGCUGCGCACCGCGUACCACGACUGCUUCAACCGGUGGUACGCGGAGAAAUUCGCUAAGGGGCAGUGGCAGAGGGACGACUGCGCCGACCACUGGCACAAGUACCGCGCCUGCCUCGAGGAACAUCUGGAAGACAAGCAUCUGAGGCAAAUCCUACUGGAUGCAGAAACUUCUGCAUUUUAUGCCAUGCCUGAGGCCAACCCUCCCACAGGACAAGGAACUACAAAAUGACAAUCCACCUGAUUGGUUACCCGCACGGCCGCACCAUCUCAUCUUGGAUCACCGACGGCGGCAGCCUGCGCAUGGACGCGCAGCCAUCCAAUCAGGCUGAUAUCUCCUUCACCAUAUGCCAUAUCGGACUUCAUUCAAUCAGGAUAUAUAGAACCUUGGUAGAUGAAUUAGAAACUCCUUGGAUCUUGACAAUUGUUAGGCCCCUGGAUCAUGUAACACUUAACAAGCAAAAUUUGCGUGUGUCAGAAUGGUGUGUGCCCUGCUAUCUGGAAACCUUGCAACAGUUGAGAAUAGAAUCAGCUGUAGAGCUGUACAUGUUGAAGAACGUUGUGUUUCAACUGUGGCUUAGCUUUUAGCAGAGUUUGUUGAGUAAUAUGUUUCGGACAUGGUAUUGGUUUCAAUACAUUAGUUUCUGAUGUUGUUAAGGUUUCAUGAAUCCUGACAGUGACGUGGUCACUCACCCUGUGGCGGGUGCUCUGUGCUUGGAGGAGCAGCAGGCAGCAGCUAAGGCGAGUGCUCUGCUAUCUGGACUUCUUGUCGAUCCUUGUAAUAACUCUUCUGAAGUUUGGUGAGUGUUCCAAUUUUUUUUAUUUGGGUCUUGUUUCAUGUUUUUUUGCAUAUUUUAAGUGUGAAAAACUUUGCGCUGGGUAAUCCAACUUCCAGACUACACGACAUGUUCAGGUGCUAUGAUAACUGUUUUUGCUUGUCGGAUUUCAUGCCUAGCUUUGUCUUGUUUUGGAGCUCAUGUACAGACUUGUGAAACACCAAAUUCCGUAAUGAAUGUAAUAUAUUGCUUUUUUUCA